UACAGAGGUCUCAAGCGUUGUUCGGAUUCAUUGGGCGUACAGGGUGCGUAGGUGGCGCCAUCAGUCGGGUGUGAAAUCUCGGGGCUUAACUCCGAAACUGCAUUCGAUACUGUGGUGCUUGAGGACUGGAGAGGAGACUGGAAUUCAUGGUGUAGCAGUGAAAUGCGUAGAGAUCAUGAGGAAGACCAGUGGCGAAGGCGGGUCUCUGGACAGUUCCUGACACUGAGGCACGAAGGCCAGGGGAGCAAACGGG
rnacentral:rRNA from 1 species